CUGAGAUCCAUAAUUCAUAAGUAUUAGCACUCGAGGAGCGUUUUAAUGAAGCCCCUUUGGCCUCGAGGUCAGGCGAGCAUCCGUUAUUCAGGAUAACACCGGAGAGAAGGAGAUGGUGGAAGACACUGCCGUUUAAGUCACGUGCUCCUAAUUGACCCGUGCACUCGUAUCUGUUUUGUCAUUUAAAUAACUCGCCGUAGUAAGCUUUCAAUUAAGCACGGGAUGGCUGCGGAGUCCCUGUGCGAGAUUAAUGAGCUGAGCUAUUGGAAUGUCCCCGAAUGACAAAGCUGCACCACACCUUAAGAGCUUGGAGGUGGUGGAGGUUGAGGUGGAGGUGGUGGAGGAGGGGGGAGCCAGGAUGUUGAACCCCAGGAAUCAGAGACUUGCUGAAAGUUAAACGUUCUGGCCUGCUUUAUUUUUUUGCGUCUGUGGUGCCACCUGGAACCCUCGACCUCGCCGAUUUUAGCGUCGUAUUUACGAAUCGUCGUGUCCGUGCGGGAGUCGAGCGACCCGCUGAGAACGAGGAACGAAUAACCGAGAGGAAGAGGAAGUGAGGACGGAAACACAGGUGCGCGAGCUUUCCCGGCUGCUUCUUUCGGAUUUAUCCGCCUUCCCCGGCGCUCCCCUCCUGCAGCUCCGCCAUCCCGGGAACGUUUCAUCUUCUUUGGGGAAUUUCACGCCGGUUAGUCCUUGUCAUCAGUGAACUUCGCAACGUAAUAAAAAUACCGCCGCCAUAUUUUUUUAUUCCACUACUCUUUUUUUUUUUUGAGGACAGAUCCGAGGCCGGAUUCCCUCCCGUUACCGUUUCCUGUAGUCGAGUCCGUGUGUUAUCCGGUACGCGUGGUAAAAAAAAGCCGAGGCUCCUGUGGGAGAUCGGAGACUUUUUUCGCCGUUGUGUGUCUGUCAUAUAUAUGUUUUCCUUUUUUUCCGGACGUGUUCGAGUCAUGUUUGAGUUCGAGUCAUGUUUGCCUCAACACGGAUGUGUGUUUUUAUUUUUACGCCUGGCCAUGAGUGUAUCCUUUGUGUGUGUACCUUUGACUUAUUUUUUUUGUUUCGUGUGUGUGAGCAUGGGAUUUUGAGUUUUAUAGACAUUCCUUUUGGUUUGCGUUUACUUGCGUUAUCAAAAAAAAAAAA
ensembl:lncRNA